GGAUGUGAGGGUGAUCUGGCUACGACAUCUGUCACCCCACUGAUCGCCAGGGUUGAUUCGGCUGAUCUGGCUGGCUAGGUGUGUGUCUCCUUCCUCCCUCACCGCUCCAUGUGUGUCCCUCCCGAAGCUGCCCGCUUGGUCGAAGAGGACGACCAUCCCCGCUAGAGGAGGACUGUGCUUCAGUCAAGGGUAUACAAGUAGCUGCGCUCCCUUGCUAGAACCUCCAAACAAGCUCUCUAAAAUGCUCUUGCCCAGGCACAGUCAGGCAAGUGGCUUCUGCAUUAGUACUCUGCAGAUUCC
rnacentral:snRNA from 1 species